GUCCAACUUCAUAGCUGCAAUGCCAAGUAAUGGUCAGUAAUGUAGCCUCAACAAAUAUCUGAUGAUCAGAGCUAUUAAAAUAUCAUGUAGCAAGCUUAAAUAAUUUGCCGAUAUAUUUAAUAAUUGUAUAAUUGAAACUCAAACUUCUCCGUAUCCCGUAGGAAGAAUCGCGAUAACCGGCGUCUUCACCACGUAGCAAAUUAAUAAUAGACUUUUUCUGUUCUGGUUUCAACUGAAUUUCGAAGCCUAAAUACUUGAAAUAUAAGAAAGAGUUUCCUCCAAAGCAUUAACAGGCAUAUUUGUUAUGCGAAAUAUACGGCUAUCGCUAUUCGAUACGCGAGCAGAAUUGUUGUUGACAUUUAGUUACGUAAUUACUUCCGUUAACGAGAUUAACCAAUGGGAAGCUUUUCCGAAGAUUCUUCGGAGAAGAACAAAUUUGUCAUAGGCAUUUGGGCAGGUGUUUAUUUAACGACGCCCUUUCUUCUCCCGCCCGCACUAAACGCCUGCAACGCAGGCUAGCCUGACGGCAGCAAAAUGUGUUGCGUUCGGGACCGUCAGUGUAUGUUUCACCAGUAAGGUAAACUACUG